CGUAACACGUGAGCAACCUGCCGAUCUGAGGGGGAUAGCCGGCCCAACGGCCGGGUAAUACCGCAUACGGUUGAUGAGGGACAUCCCUUGUGAACGAAACCUGGGGUAACCUGGGGCAGAUCGAGGGGCUCGCGGCCUAUCAGCUAGUUGGCGGGGUAACGGCCCACCAAGGCGACGACGGGUAGCUGGUCUGAGAGGAUGGCCAGCCACAUUGGGACUGAGAGACGGCCCAG
rnacentral:rRNA from 1 species